GUUGAAACACUGGUUCCCGUACCAACACCGAAGUUAAGCAACGCCAAGCCUGAUCAUUAUCUAGAUGAGUGACCGCUUGGGAAUAAUAGGUGCUGUAA